rnacentral:RNase_MRP_RNA from 1 species
UGGAGAAAGUCCCCUGGCCUUUGGAGCACGGAGAAGACCUUUCUAGAUAUCUCCUGCGUGCAAUCG